ACUGCGAAGGAUCAUUA
rnacentral:rRNA from 2 species